AAGCAUAGCCUCAAGGUGACACACAUCACAUAGAGGAACAAAAUCGGUUCCUCUGUUUUCCACCUUAUCUCAUUGUUGCUUCUUUGGUCUUUCUUGCAGCAAUCCUCCCAUGCCAUCAAAAGGCCAAGUUCAUUUCUCCAUUUAGUUUCAGUUUUUGAAAAUUUUGCUGAAUUUUGGCUUAUAUUAUUUUUAAUUUCAAAAUAUGUAAUAAUAUGCUUGUGCAAGUUAGCUUGUACAUUUCAAUGGUUUUUUAAGUUUUAUCUUUUCUUUGUUGUAGUCUUAUAUUGUAUACUUAGGAUGGCAUUCUCAUGGCCCAAACCCUUCAGCAAGUGAUCUUGAGUUUGCAACAAAUCCCCAUUACAAAUUAUUAGGCUCACACUUGGGAAGCCAUGAGAAGGCCAAAGAAGCAAUAUUUUAUUCAUACAAUAAACACAGCAAUGGUUUUGCUGUUGUACUUGAAGAGGAACAUG